UUGAUCCUGGCUCAGAGUGAACGCUGGCGGUAGGCCUAACACAUGCAAGUCGAACGGCAGCACAGGAGAGCUUGCUCUCUGGGUGGCGAGUGGCGGACGGGUGAGGAAUACAUCGGAAUCUACUCUGUCGUGGGGGAUAACGUAGGGAAACUUACGCUAAUACCGCAUACGACCUACGGGUGAAAGCAGGGGACCUUCGGGCCUUGCGCGAUUGAAUGAGCCGAUGUCGGAUUAGCUAGUUGGCGGGGUAAAGGCCCACCAAGGCGACGAUCCGUAGCUGGUCUGAGAGGAUGAUCAGCCACACUGGAACUGAGACACGGUCCAGACUCCUACGGGAGGCAGCAGUGGGGAAUAUUGGACAAUGGGCGCAAGCCUGAUCCAGCCAUACCGCGUGGGUGAAGAAGGCCUUCGGGUUGUAAAGCCCUUUUGUUGGGAAAGAAAUCCAGCUGGCUAAUACCCGGUUGGGAUGACGGUACCCAAAGAA
rnacentral:rRNA from 1 species